rnacentral:rRNA from 1 species
AUUGAACGCUGGCGGCAGGCUUAACACAUGCAAGUCGAGCGGAGAUGAGGUGCUUGCACCUUAUCUUAGCGGCGGACGGGUGAGUAAUGCUUAGGAAUCUGCCUAUUAGUGGGGGACAACAUUCCGAAAGGAAUGCUAAUACCGCAUACGUCCUACGGGAGAAAGCAGGGGAUCUUCUGACCUUGCGCUAAUAGAUGUGCCUAAGUCGGAUUAGCUAGUUAGUGGGGUAAAGGCCUACCAAGGCGACGGUCUGUAGCGGGUCUGAGAGGAUGAUCCGCCACACUGGGACUGAGACACGGCCCAGACUCCUACGGGAGGCAGCAGUGGGGAAUAUUGGACAAUGGGGGGAACCCUGAUCCAGCCAUGCCGCGUGUGUGAAGAAGGCCUUAUGGUUGUAAAGCACUUUAAGCGAGGAGGAGGCUACCGAGACUAAUACUCUUGGAUAGUGGACGUUACUCGCAGAAUAAGCACCGGCUAACUCUGUGCCAGCCGCCGCCGUAAGAC